rnacentral:rRNA from 1 species
GGUGCCAGCAAUCGCGGUUAUACAAAAAAUGCAAAAAAAUAUGAUUAGUAAAUAGUUAAAUAAAUAAUAAUUAAUAAAAGUAUUAAAUUUAUUAGGUGAAAUUUUAAAUUUAAUAAAUUAUUAAAUAAAAAUUAUUGAGGCUAUGAAAUUUUAAUAAUAAACUAGGAUUAGAUACCCUAUUAUUUAAAAUGUAAAAAUUUUACUAGAGUAUUAAUAGUUAUGUUCUUUAAAUUUAAAAAAUUUGGCGGUAUUUUAGUCUAUUCAGAGGAACCUGUUUUAUAAUCGAUAAUCCUCGUUAAAUCUUACUUAAAUUUGUUUAACAAUUUGUAUAUCGCCGUUAUCAGAAUAUUUUUUAAAAAUUAAAAUUUUCUUAAUUUUAUAUUAAAAUUGAUGUUAGGUCAAGGUGCAGUUUAUAUUUAAGUAAAAAUGGGUUACAAUUAAUCUCUUUAUAUGGAUUAUUAGCUGAAAAUAUUAAUAUGAAAGUGGAUUUGAAAGUAAAAUUUUUUUAGUAUGGAAAUUUGAUUUUAGCUCUAAAAUAUGCACAUAUCGCCCGUCGCUCUCGUUAUUAAAAUGAGAUAAGUCGUAACAUAGUAGAGGUAUCGGAAGAUGUUUCUAGAAUGA